rnacentral:rRNA from 1 species
CCUACGGGAGGCAGCAGUGAGGAAUAUUGGUCAAUGGACGCAAGUCUGAACCAGCCAUGCCGCGUGCAGGAAGACGGCUCUAUGAGUUGUAAACUGCUUUUGUACGAGGGUAAACGCAGAUACGCGUAUCUGUCUGAAAGUAUCGUACGAAUAAGGAUCGGCUAACUCCGUGCCAGCAACCGCGGUAAUACGGAGGAUUCAAGCGUUAUCCGGAUUUAUUGGGUUUAAAGGGUGCGUAGGCGGUCGGAUAAGUUAGUGGUGAAAUCCCGCGGCUCAACUUCGGAAUUGCCUCUGAUACUGUCCGGCUAGAGAGUAGUUGCGGUAGGCGGAAUGUAUGGUGUAGCGGUGAAAUGCUUAGAGAUCAUACAGAACACCGAUUGCGAAGGCAGCUUACCAAGCUACUUCUGACGUUGAGGCGCGAAAGCGUGGGGAGCAAACAGGAUUAGAUACCCGGGUAGUC